rnacentral:rRNA from 1 species
GACGAACGCUGGCGGCGUGCUUAACACAUGCAAGUCGAACGGAAAGGCCCUGCUUGCAGGGUACUCGAGUGGCGAACGGGUGAGUAACACGUGGGUGAUCUGCCCUGCACUUCGGGAUAAGCCUGGGAAACUGGGUCUAAUACCGGAUAGGAGCCAUUUUUAGUGUGAUGGUUGGAAAGUUUUUUCGGUGUAGGAUGAGCUCGCGGCCUAUCAGCUUGUUGGUGGGGUAAUGGCCUACCAAGGCGGCGACGGGUAGCCGGCCUGAGAGGGUGGACGGCCACAUUGGGACUGAGAUACGGCCCAGACUCCUACGGGAGACAGCAGUGGGGAAUAUUGCACAAUGGGCGCAAGCCUGAUGCAGCGGCGCCGCGUGGGGGAUGACGGCCUUGGGGUUGUAAACUCCUUUCGCUAGGGACGAAGCUUUUUGUGACGGUACCUAGAUAAGAAGCACCGGCUAACUACGUG